CAUGCUGUCCCAAGUGAGCCACAGGCUGGCCCUACUUUCUGUCUCUUUAAAUUGGACUAGUCUAAGUACCUCACGUUGUUUCACACAUCCUGUUGUCUGAUGCUUGGGGCUGUUCGACAAUUUGCUCGUCCAUUCCAGUUGUUAUAGGAUUUGGAUUGUUUCAAUUUUACUUUUUGCUCUUGUGGGCAGUGCAGCUCUCAUCACACUCAUCCAAGUGCCUAUGUGUAAUAAAGUCUCUACACAUUGGAGAAAAUGUGCUGGGUUGUAGAUUCUUGGCAAUUUCAAAAUCACCAGGAAAUUGCAAUGGAGGAUGUAGGAACUGACUCUCACAGCAUUUGUGCAUGUGUUUGUUUAUCCCACAUCAAUGGCCACACUGAAAUUAUGUAAUUUACUAACUUUUGCCUAAUUAGUGUGUGUGACAUGGGAUCAUCCUGUAAUUUGAUCACUUUUCACGAAAUAGGUUUUAGUCAUUUUCUUACUUUUAGUUCAUCUAUUUAUUUGGUUUCUUAUGAUUUCUUUAUACACUCUGGACAUUUAUGUGCAGGUUUUGCGUGGAAGUAACUUUUUAAUUUAUUAAGUUGAAGCCUGAUUCCUGGAUAAUAUUGUAAAAGUAUGUUUAGUUUUAUAAUAAACUGAGAAGUGUCUUCCAAAA